rnacentral:tRNA from 1 species
GGGGCAUUAGCUCAGUUGGUAGAGCGAUGGCUUUGCAAGCCAUAGGUCAGGGGUUCGAAUCCCCUAUGCUCCACCC